ensembl:lncRNA
UUCAGAGUGACGCCCAAUGGAUUGCAGUAAACUUGGGUCAUUUUCUCAAUUUACAUCAUACACUGACCUCCAAGUCUUCAACAUCACUGGGGUAAGUCGUACAUUUCCCUUCAAAUCUUCCAUGAAAAGAGCAGCGCAAAACUCAGAACGUCAAAGAGAAAAGCUUUUUGUGUUUCCUCCGUUUGUGUCAUCAGGCGGCAGUUGUGGACGUCCUCACGCCAAACCAGAAGGCUGAGCUGAUCCUUGAUCCAAACAGCGGCGCUUUGCAGAAUGAGACCAUCGUACGGGAGGUGUUCAAAAGCUUGAACAAGUCCCACAAUGACGAGCAGCUCGGUCAGUUUUUCCUGGCUUUUACAGACAUCAACAAGAAGGUGAGUGCUUGAUUUUAAGAUUGCCAUGCUCUCCGAUAUAUAGUUGCCUGCCAAACAGGCCGUGUAAAAGUUGCCCUUUGCUCUGGGAAUGUUUGCAGAAGCUAAUAGGUGGCCGAGCCUCGGCUCAAAAUCAUCCCAUCUCUGGAAUGCUUGGUUAAAGUGUUGUUGCGGAUUAUUCCCCAAUCAUGUCCGUCAUGCACCGAAGUCCAAAGACGUGUCCCCAGGCUUGCUUUCAUUUUGACAAUGAGUCAAGAGGGGUGUAAUAUCCUCUUGAACUAAACAGAGAAUCCCUUCACUUGCAGAGAAACAUCACCUUCAUCAAAAAUCCAGCUGUACGAGACACCAUCCUGAACCUGACCCUGACGGCCCUUGCUCCUGAAUUUGAAGACUUUGAGCCUGAAGACUUUGAGCUGUGGUUCCAGGUCAAUUUGGCCACUGUGAUGGCCAGCCUCCAUCCUGGCAGCUUGGCAGUGAUCCCCAGCAACAUCAGCUGUGAAUCCUAUGCAGCUAUACUCACUGGUCUUCGAAAAAGCUUGAAAUCCCUGCCACUGGACAUUUCAGAUGGUCUGAGAUCGGGCAUAGAGUCAUUCAAGGAGACCUUCCCACGUACGUUGACAUCGUUUUUUCAGACAAGCCGAUUACGACUGCUUGUGUUGAUAGCUGCAUUGAUGCCAUGCCUUCUUUCCAUUUUUGCCCCAAACAGGUUGCGCAGUUGCACAUUCCUUGAUG